UUCCUCCGCGCGUCAGCUGGCUGUCAGCGCCGCGGAGGGGUCACCGCCCGCCUGGGAACCGAGCAAGGCGGGAGCCCCAAAGCCGUGGGGUUUGCGCCGUUCACCGCGGUGCGAGUGACGAAGCUAAAGCUCUGCUCUUGCCCAGGAAGAGCGCGGGCCUGGUCUAAGAGUAACGGGCCUGGACACUUCUUUUAGUGGCAUAUCGGCACACACCAGGGUAUCAAAGCAGGUGGCUCAGUCUAGGGGAAAAAGCAUCACCAAAGGGAAGAUACGGUGACGUGGACUGUCAGUACAAGGGCCAGACGCAUCAAUAGUGGAAUCAUACAAUAAUCAAAAGUGGAAGUGACCUUUAAAAUCAUAAAAGUCCAAGGAUAACGCGGCGUUACCACUGUAACCCCUAAAUCACCCAGCGCCAGUCACAGACACGUCUUAAGCAUCUCCAGGAAUGGUGACUCCACCACCUUCCUGGGAAACCUAUUCCACUGCCUGACCACCUGAACAAUGAUUAUUCUAACACCUAUUUUGAAGCUACCCUCUCUCACCUGAAGGGCAUUUCCUCUAGUCCCCUCACAGCAGGCGAUCCAGAAGAGACUGAUCCCCAGCUCACGACAACCUUUUCGGUAGUUCUAGAGAGUGAUGAAGAUUGUUUUACUUACAGUGAUACCAUCUGUGACACUUCCAGCUCCUUGGGGGCUUUUUACUUCGAGCAACGUGGGCCAACAGAUCACUCUCAUUCAGGCUGCCUUCACACUGCAAACUAAGUCUGUAUGGGUUGUGCUGUUACUGAAAAUGACCAAGCUCUUAACAGCAGUUUUCAGCAGUAGGUAAUUUGACCUAUUGUGUUUACUAAAGAGACAUCAAAGGAUUCUCUGGAGCGUUUUCAAGAUAUGUCUAUUUUUAUUACUUUGAUGUAAUUGAUUACUAGCCAGAUUUGGACCAUCCUAAUUCGGUUGCUACGCCAGUGCUCGUUCCAGGAUGCAAAUGUACUAAGUAAACCACAACCUCUGAGGAGUGCUUGAGUUUAAGAAAGGAUCUGACCAAUUUACCUAAUAGGCUUUAAAAGUUGCUUGUUCAGAUAAAAUGUUAAUGCUUAAAGAUAGUUACUCAAACAUUUAAGGUGAUUCGCAGGCUCCCCAGUAUGGGCAUAGCUGCUCAGGGGUCACAACAGGCCUCAAUCUGAUGGAAGGGCAGGCUUCUGUUCACCUGCCUGGCUACAUGCAAAGUACAGUUUUCACUGUUUGACUAUAGCUACAGGGAAUUAGUUAGCCUAAGCUAAUCAGGACACUGAUGGUGUACUUCAUACACUGAAGUAUAAACCACCUUUUAUCUCAGUAGGUUUCCCUGCAGAGAUCAGCCAGUGUUUCCAAGACCUGGAGCAGAGACCCACACUGAGCUAGGAGCCCCAGUACCACUGAUGUCACAAAUGGCCUGCAGCAAACUACUUCUCCUUGCCAUGUCUCCUUCUUCUGAGGCAGUCCUGUUGGUGAAUUGUUCACUUAUUUGUAGCUAAAUAAACAUUACGCUACGGCAGAGGCAGCA